rnacentral:rRNA from 1 species
UACAGAGGUGGCAAGCGUUGUUCGGAAUUACUGGGCGUAAAGCGCGUGUAGGCGGCUCUUCAAGUCAGGCGUGAAACGCCCCGGGCUCAACUCGGGAACUGCGCUUGAUACUGUCGAGCUAGAGUGUGGAAGGGGGCGAUUGGGAAUUCCGUGUGUAGCGGUGAAAUGCGAUAGAUAUACGGAGGAAGCACCAGAGGCGAAGGCGGAUCGCUGGCCAACACUGACGCUGAGGAGCGAAAGCUGGGGAGCGAACAGG